GAUGAACGCUGACAGAAUGCUUAACACAUGCAAGUCUUUGGCGAAGCUGUGCUUGCACAGCCUAGCCAAGGCGGACGGGUGAGUAACGCGUAAGGAACUUGCCCUGCAGUCAGGGAUAACAGACGGAAACGACUGAUAAGACCUGGUAAAGUCAGGCGGACUCAUGUCCAGCCUGAUGAAAAGAGAUGCUGCAGGAGAGCCUUGCGUCCUAUUAGCUUGUUGGUGGGGUAACGGCCCACCAAGGCGAUGAUAGGUAGCCGGCCUGAGAGGGUGGACGGCCACAAGGGGACUGGGAGACGGCCCUUACUCCUCCGGGAGGCAGCAGUGGGGAAUAUUGGACAAUGGGGGCAACCCUGAUCCAGCAAUUCUGUGUGCACGAUGAAGGUUUUCGGAUUGUAAAGUGCUUUCAGCAGGGAAGAAAAAAAUGACGGUACCUGCAGAAGAAGCGACGGCUAAAUACGUG
rnacentral:rRNA from 1 species